rnacentral:rRNA from 1 species
GAUGAACGCUGGCGGCGUGCCUAAUACAUGCAAGUCGAGCGAACAGACGAGGAGCUUGCUCCUCUGACGUUAGCGGCGGACGGGUGAGUAACAAGUGGAUAACCUACCUAUAAGACUGGGAUAACUUCGGGAAACCGGAGUUAAUACCGGAUAAUAUAUUGAACCGCAUGGUUCAAUAGUGAAAGACGGUUUUUGUGUCACUUAUAGAUGGAUCCGCGCCGCAUUAGCUAGUUGGUAAGGUAACGGCGUACCAAGGCAGCGAUGCGUAGCCGACCUGAGAGGGGGGUCGGCCGCACUGGAACUGAGACACGGUCCAGACUCCUACGGGAGGCAGCAGUAGGGAAUCUUCCGCAAUAGGCGGAAGCCUGACGGAGCAACGCCGCGUGAGUGAUGAAGGUCUUCGGAUCGUAAAGCUCUGUUAUUAGGGAAGAACAAAUGUGUAAGUAACUAUGCACGGCUUGACGGUACCUAAUCAGAAAGCCACGGCUAACUACGUG